GAUGAACGCUGGCGGCGUGCCUAAUACAUGCAAGUCGAGCGAACAGACGAGGAGCUUGCUCCUCUGACGUUAGCGGCGGACGGGUGAGUAACACGUGGAUAACCUACCUAUAAGACUGGGAUAACUUCGGGAAACCGGAGCUAAUACCGGAUAAUAUAUUGAACCGCAUGGUUCAAUAGUGAAAGACGGUUUUGCUGUCACUUAUAGAUGGAUCCGCGCCGCAUUAGCUAGUUGGUAAGGUAACGGCUUACCAAGGCAACGAUGCGUAGCCGACCUGAGAGGGUGAUCGGCCACACUGGAACUGAGACACGGUCCAGACUCCUACGGGAGGCAGCAGUAGGGAAUCUUCCGCAAUGGGCGAAAGCCUGACGGAGCAACGCCGCGUGAGUGAUGAAGGUCUUCGGAUCGUAAAACUCUGUUAUUAGGGAAGAAAAAAUGUGUAAGUAACUAUGCCCGUCUUGACGGUACCUAAUCAGAAAGCCACGGCUAACUACGUG
rnacentral:rRNA from 1 species